rnacentral:lncRNA from 1 species
UUAAAAUAUUUUACUAGAUUGUAUUUAUGGUUAACAGUAUCUUGCACUACAAUUUAUAUUUAGAUAAUCAUUCAUUUUAAAAUUAUUUAUUGAGCACCUACUAUGUGUUAGGUAUUAGGUACAGAGCAAUGAAUACAGCAAGCACAGUUCCUCACCUCGUGGACCUGACACUGUAGUGUGAGAGAUAAUAAGCAAAUGAUAUAAGGCCAUGCAGUAGUUAAAUGCUAUGAAGAAACAUAAAAUCUGGUACAGGGACAGAGAGUAGGGAGGGAGCUCUUGUUAUAAAGGGUGGCCAGGAAAGACCAAGUUGUGUAGCAGAGGCCUGAAGGAAGCCAGGGACCAAGCCAUAUGAAUUUUCUCAGAUAGGUGUAUUCUAGUUAUAGAGAACAGCAACUGGAACGGUCCUGAGAAGGGAACAUUCCUGGAACAUUCAAGAACUAGCCAAGAGAUCAGCAAGUCUAUAGUAAAAAGAAACAUAGUAGAUAGUCAUCUAGUGUUUUCUUCUCUUCCUUCCUAUUAUCUCUCAUACCAUGUCAUGUUACUUUUCUAAAGGAUCUCAAUGGGGAAGAGAACAUCAUUGUCUUUAAGAUUCAAUUUUUUGUGUAUUGAAAGUCUUCAUGGUCAUUCUUUUGAGAUCAUGACCUACUACAACGUCCCCAGGCCUGCAUCCUCCACAGGCUCCAUGAGCAGAAAAGCAGACGAAUAGAAGAGCAGAGGAACAGAAGAAUAGCAGUGUGGCCGAGCAGCGUGGUAGAGAAAGAGGGAAGAGAAGCAGCAUCUGAAUGUUGAGAGGAGUUUGGCUGGGGACAGUCGGAGAGGAGAUUGGCCGCAGGACGACCCAACUCCAGGGGAGGAACAUCUUCCUACUCCAUUCGCUUCCCCACUCCCCAGCCAUUCCACUGAGAGCCACCUCCAUCUGGCAAUAAAAUCUCUUGCAUUCACUAUCCUUCAAUUUGCCUGUGUGACCUGAUUCUUCCUGGAUGCUGGACAAGAACCCAGCAUCCAGGUACCAAGAGGGCACUGGGCUGGAUAACACUUGAGCUGUCUGUGGACGGCAGAGCUAAAAGAGCACUGUAACAUGCCCACUGGGGCUUUGGGAGUUGCAGGCACCCACCCUGGAUGCUACUACCAUGGGGCUGGAGCCCAAAAGUGUUUGCCCCGCCUCCUGCACCUGCCCGUCUGCAUGCUCCCCCUCCAGUAAGGGGUUUGAGUGCACAGAGGCUGAACAGAUGAGCCACACCCCUGUCACACAUCCUGUGAAGGGGGUUAGGAAACUCUCCCAUUUCAUCUUGACCAUCUUUGAGGGACUAUUGAUGCUUUUGGUAUCAGCAGCCACAGAAUUCAUCAGACACAGCACAAAAGAGCAGGAGAAGAGAUAAUGGCAGAUGCCAGAAGGUUGUCCAGCUGGUUACUACCUCUCCUCUUCACCUGAUUAUACCUGAUUACUGCUGACUCGAUGGGCAGGGAGAGUCGCUGACUCCUGACAGAAAGACUCUGUCACCCCUUGCCAUUUAUUUUAGAUCCUGUGAAUCCUACUGUCAAUGUUGUGACACCUGCAAUGCCUGGGAUGAAGCUGCCCAUGUGGUGAGAUGCAGCCUGUGGAAGCCUCUUUUCAGUGGAGUGAGAGCCAAGCCCCCUUGGCUUUUCAUAGACAAUUGGUGAACGGGACAAGGAGACACUGUCCUUGGAUGUCUGAAAAAAAAAGAAAAAGGUUGCAAAACAUGUUGCCAAUAAGAAUGUUGUAGAUGAAAGGCAGGAUGAAGGAAAGUGGUCUUAAUUUAAAUUCUCUAUUUUACUAAACCUACUCUUUAACAAAUAUGUUUAUGUGAGGCAUCAGAAGCAAAUGUAUUUUGGCUUUUAAGAGAAUUAAAAUUGUUUCCCCUAUUUUUUUAUUUGUUUGCUUUGGUGGCUUUGUGACCAAAAAAAUUGUUUUAAUCCAAAUAGCCACAAUAAAUAAAUAAGCAAAUGAAUAAAAUUCCCAGGUCAUUUGAGAGAAAAGAUUAACUGAAAAGGUAAAGCAUCUCCCCCUUUUUAGUUUCAGUUAAUUAUAGUGUCAGGAUGACUUUUUAACUUACCUGGCAAUCUGGAACCUCAUAGAGUCACUUGCGUUUUCAAAAUUUCCAUGUGAAAACAUGAUUGUGCCAAGUACUCCCUAUUAACUUUUAGACAUCAUCUAUAAAAUCACUACAGGAAAAUAUGGAAAUAUCUGAGAGAUACACAGUGGAUCGCCUCAGAAUAAAUCGUUCCCCAAAUCAUUUUAUGACUGCCUGAGUCGGGACUCAUGGGUCAGAGUAGAGUCAUAGUUAAGGUUUGCAACUGGCUUAGUAGCAAGAGGGGAUAAACAAACUAUCCAGGCUGUUGAACUGUCCAGUUUCGCUACAACUGUAUUUACUUGUUGGGAUCAACUGUUUUCUUUCCUAUUAAGGUAUUAGUAGCCACUGAUAAUGGAAGCCAGGGCCCGCUAGAAAUAGACCAGAGGAAAUUUCCUGACUCACUUGCAUAACAACAGUUCAUCAGCACUGAAGAUAUAUGAAGUGUGACUGCAGAGUAAUGGGAGUGAUUAGGUUUCUCUGCACAACAAAACUCUUACAUACAAAUGAGCACUGUCCCCUUCAGGACAGUCCUCAGGGAACCCGUAUGCUUAUUCCGGUGUGUGAUUGGUCUGGAAGCAUUUUUGGAUGCCCUCUGGACAGAAAGUGCUUUUGGACACUGUUAGUGGUGACAAAGUGUGUCCUUUGAGGAUGGAUUAGAUUGUUGGAAAUGAUACAAUGUAUUCACAGUAUACAUCUGUUGUUUUUGUCUACCCAGAAGCCUCUGUCCAAACUUGUGGUUGGAGAGGCUGUAUUUCUUCUGUCGUUCAUUCUGUCUUUGAAGGCUCUCGAGGAGAAAAUAGCUUUUAAUAUCUCUUGGGAAAUGGCCACAUUUUCCCCUGGCAAUUGAACCCAUGGCUUUCUUGAAUGACUACUCCUCAACCAGGUCUAAGUUGUUUAGGUAGGCUGACUUGACCACCAGUUCCAGAGCACAGACAUGUGACGAGCCUGGCCAUAGUCAUUGAUUCAGGGAUGGACACAUGACUGAAACGGCAUGCUGGCAUUUAGUUCUGGUACUUGGAUUUUAACUGUUGGGAGGAGAAUUUCUCACUCUGCUAUGAUAUAAGCAUGAAGCUACUGGCUUCCACUUGCUGCUACAAAGAGCCUGCUUAAAAAUGGAGCCAACAUAAAAGGAAGCAGAUUUAAGACCUGAGCGAUGAGAGCGUGCACAUGUGUGUAUAUCCACAUAAUGAGACUAAGUCUUGAUUUCUGCACCUUGAUCCAGAUAUACCUGGAGCAGAAACUCUGCUGGGACUCUUUUGUAUCAUGAGCCAGUAACCUCCCUAUUUGCCUAGUAGGUUGAUUUGGGCUUCAAUCUUGCAACCAAGUGAGUCCUGACUAAACCAGCAGAAUGGAGCCAGGUAAGGUUCUUUCUCAAGAAGAGAAGAAGGAAGGUAUCAAGACGUUUAUGACAAAUUUCUACUCAACACUGAGCACCUGCUAAGUGCUGGGCCUAAUAGUCGAGAUGCUGCAAUGAACUAGUCCAUUCAGGAUGCUGAGGUGUUUCAGCCUAGAAGAGACUGCUUUUCUUCCUUUGCUCAUGCAGACUCAGGGGGCCAUUCUCAAGGAGGAGUUAGUGACAGGAAUGUCUUUGGCAAAGACAGCACUCUUGAGUGUGGUCAGAACAUGUUAUUUAUUUCCCAAGAUGAUUAGUUUUUGAAGAAGACAACAAAUAGUUGAGGCUAUGAAUUCUAUCUCUGUAAAAAUAGAGUUAUGUUUUCCUCCUGUAGUCAGAUCUCCUGUGGAACGUGAGUAAACAGGAAUUUCUAUGUAUGGAGCAAGGACAGUAUGGUUAGCACAUAAUACAUGUGUUUAUUUCAGAGCUGGGGAGGACUCCUGACCAGCGUGACACCUAACAUUGGAGUGAAGGGGCAGCAGACCUCUCCAGCCACGUGAAACGGAAUGGGAAAUACUCUUCUCCUACCACCAACUUGGCCACUCUCCAGUGACGAGGUUUCAGAAGCAGUGCAUUUUCAAGUUUCUGCCUCAGAAGAGAUCCAGUUUGGCAUUCUGUCUAAGUUCACUGCACAGAGACGGGUUUGGCUCUGUGAUUCAUCAGAAAUAAGAAAAACAAACACUGUAAAUGGAGAACUUGAAAAAGAGGUGGGCACCAUCUCCCCACCCAAGAGAAUGGAUUUAAGAGGAAAUUUGUUUAUGGGAUGAAGUUUUAAAAGGCGACCUGGAAAAUUUAGCAAAGAUGUAAAUAAACAACUCUUCCUUGGAUUGCAUUAGGCUUCAGAAUAAAUAUAUUAACCAGCUUCAGUCAAAGUCUGCCUAGAAUCUGACCCUGACAAGACCCAGUGACUAGUGCUGCUCCGAACCUUCCCCACCAACAGCAGGCAAUUUUCUCUGUGGCAAAGCUACCUCGAAACAGGCAUCCAGGCUUCCCUCCCACGAAGUGAAGAUGAGAAAACUGAGUCUCAGAAUGGACAAGCUCACAGAUGGCAAGUGGUAGAGCAGACUUCACACAUAGCCAUCUGAGUGAGAUGGGAAGCUGAUCCUCCAGCCCUGAUCAAGCCUUCAAAUGACUGCACCUCCAGCUGACAGAUUACCAAAAGCAACCUCCUUCCAGAAGACCUUGAGCCAAAACCACUCAGCUAAGCUACUUCCAGAUCCCUGAUCCUCGGAAACUGUGCGAGACAAUAAAUGUUUAAAUGGCCACCCACUUUGGAAUAAAGAGGACAUAUAAUUUGCCUAAGGUCACAUAGCACUCUCUAAAUCAGUACAGUAUUUUAGACAAAGCUUCAACUUUGCACUUUUAUGGGUCAUUUUGAUAUAAGACUACAAGGAUAUCUCCUCCCAUGACAAACUUGACUUCAUUUACAACAAAAGGCCAAGCAAGAUACAGUACACUGUGGGGAUAAAUGGUACUCACUGAGGACAGGAAUAUGCUGACAUUAUCUCAAUUUCCUCCUCCCUCCUGUUGUUCUCCUUUGGAUGCUUUCCUGGACUAUAGGGAGAAGGAAAAUAGAGAAAGGCCAACUGCGACUAGGCCAGAGAUCAGAUGUUACCUUGUAGGAAGCAUCUCAUUCUAACCUUAAGUACUCUCUUGAUGAAGUACGGGGCCAAGAGAUUUUGGAAUUCUACCACACAAGGUUGCUCAGCAUUCCAAGAAGUAUUGAUAACUCUUCAAGAGCAAAAGUCAUUUAAAUUAAACUUCUCUGGCCGGGCAUGGUAGCUCAUAUCUGUAAACCCAGCACUUUGGGAGGCUGAGGCUGGAAGAUCACU